rnacentral:rRNA from 1 species
CAGCAGCCGCGGUAAUACGGGGAUGGCAAGCGUUACUCGGAUUUAUUGGGUGUAAAGGGCAGGUAGGCGGCUAUGUAAGUUGUAGGUGAAAUCCUGUGACUCAAUCACAGAACUGCCUUCAAAACUGCAUAGCUUGAAGCCAGAAGAGGAAAGCGGAAUUCCCGGUGUAAGGGUGAAAUCUGUAGAUAUCGGGAGGAACACCAGUGGCGAAAGCGGCUUUCUGGUCUGGCCUUAACGCUAAUCUGCGAAAGCUAGGGGAGCAAACAGG